CACCCGGUAGCACACGGCGUGCAUUUGCCUAUCUUAUGCGGGUGAUAAUGCGACCAAUAUGAGCAGAAGACCCCCGUUCGACUCGGGGUCGGGUGA